GUUGAGACAAGAGGGUGUGGCAAGUCCUGGUUCCCAUGGGAGGGUGUCAAGACAGCCCUUAAUAUAGAAUCUUAAUUUCAGGCCUUAUGCAACAAGAGGGUAUGAGAACGUAAUUCUUCUUAGAACUAAUAAUGGAAUUUCACAGUGAAACAGUAUACAGGAUAAACACGUAAAGCCAUCUCAAGCUUGUGAUGAACUCAGAGAGGCCAAACUCAGAAAACAGAAGCAGCAGAGAAG